GGGCGAUUAGCUCAGUUGGUUAGAGCGCCUGUCUUACACACAGGAGGUCGUAGGUUCGAAUCCUACAUCGCCCA
rnacentral:tRNA from 1 species